AGCACCAGGUGUGGCCACUAGCCUAUAUGAAGGCCCAAAAUUGUGUGUUCCUUUCUGCUCUGACAAUGGCAUGCCCAUUCGUGCGAGAUGUGGUGGAUGAAGAAGCACUUGUGCUGAGGAGCGCCUUCAGGCGAGAAAGGGUCUUCAGGGACCGGUUGGACCCACUGGCCUUCCCUGAUGACCAUCUAUAUGAAAGAUACAGGUUUUCUGCAGAUGGCAUCAGGUAUCUAUGCAGACUACUGGGUCCCAGGAUUAAGCACCGCACUGCACGGAGCCAUGCACUGAGUGUGGAGCAAAUGGUUUGUGUGGCCUUGCGCUUUUUGCUAGUGGAGCCUUCCUGUACUCAGUGGGGAUGCAGAACAGCUGAACAAGGCCACAAUUUGCCGCACAAUAAGGAGUGUGUGUCUGGCUAUCAAAGCAUUAGCAGAUGUCUUCAUCUCUUCCCUGGCCACAGAAGACUCUGUGACAUCAAAGAGGAGUUCUAUAGGAUUGCAGAUGGUCUGCAAUGCUGACUGUGUGAUCAGCAAUGUUGUGGCAAAAUGGCCUGGCUCAGUCCAUGACUCCAGAAUCUUUCGGGCCUCUGAAAUCUAUCAGUGCCUAUCACAAGGUGAAUUCUCUGGUGUGUUGCUGGGAGACCGGGGUAUGGCUGCCAGCCUUUUCUCCUGACACCUUUCACAGACCCCCAGGAAGCACAGCAGGCCUACAACCAUGCCCAUGCCAGGACCAGGGCCAGAGUUGAAAUGACCUUUGGCCUCCUGAAGGCACGCUUCACUGCCUUCACAAAUUAAGGGUCAGCCCUGUUAGGGCAUGUGAUAUUACUGUGGCUUGUGCUGUCCUCCACAAUGUGGCCUGCCUGAGGAAGGAGAGGGCCCCCAGAGUGCCACCAGCCAUGGACUGGGACAAUCCGGCAAUCUUCCCUGAUGACGACAGUGGUCGGCUGCUGAGGGACCAAUAUGUGUUGAAUUAUUUUAGUUAGUAUGUGCUUUCAAUUUUGGUUAAAUAUGUCCUGCGGUGGCAGAGGAAUUUGGGUUUUUUUGGGUUCGUUUUUUGACGAAUUUGGCCUCUUAUGAUGUUUGUGCGGUAUACUGUGUGUAAUACAACAUUUACAUUUACAUUUAAGUCAUUUAGCAGACGCUCUUAUCCAGAGCGACUUACAAAUUGGUGCUUUCACCUUAUGACAUCCAGUGGAACAGCCACUUUACAAUAGUGCAUCUAGGUCUUUUAAGGGGGGGGGGGGGAGAAGGAUUACUUUAUCCUAUCCUAGGUAUUCCUUAAAGAGGUGGGGUUUACAAGGCUGCAGGGAGGCUACUGCAUCCAGGCUACUGCAUCCAUUCAUUUGUCUGUUCAGUUGAUGUGUAUGGAUUUGUCCUGCAUUUAUUUUAGUGUGCAGACAUGCAGGGUGUGUUAUAUACAGACCUUUGAAUGUGUAUGUAUCAUUUUGUAUAAUAUGCUUGGAUUCUGUGCUUUCCAUCUUGUGGAGUCACUGUGACUUCAGUUUCGAAAGGAGCUGAUGGUUUACCUGCUUUGUUUUGUCCUUAUUCAAUAAAGGAACAUAAUGUUA